CGGGUAGCCGGCCUGAGAGGGCGACCGGCCACACUGGGACUGAGACACGGCCCAGACUCCUACGGGAGGCAGCAGUGGGGAAUAUUGCACAAUGGGCGAAAGCCUGAUGCAGCGACGCCGCGUGAGGGAUGACGGCCUUCGGGUUGUAAACCUCUUUCAGCAGGGAAGAAGCGAGAGUGACGGUACCUGCAGAAGAAGCGCCGGCUAACUACGUGCCAGCAGCCGCGGUAAUACGUAGGGCGCAAGCGUUGUCCGGAAUUAUUGGGCGUAAAGAGCUCGUAGGCGGCUUGUCACGUCGGUUGUGAAAGCCCGGGGCUUAACCCCGGGUCUGCAGUCGAUACGGGCAGGCUAGAGUUCGGUAGGGGAGAUCGGAAUUCCUGGUGUAGCGGUGAAAUGCGCAGAUAUCAGGAGGAACACCGGUGGCGAAGGCGGAUCUCUGGGCCGAUACUGACGCUGAGGAGCGAAAGCGUGGGGAGCGAACAGGAUUAGAUACCCUGGUAGUCCACGCCGUAAACGGUGGGCACUAGGUGUGGGCAACAUUCCACGUUGUCCGUGCCGCAGCUAACGCAUUAAGUGC
rnacentral:rRNA from 1 species